ACGUUAUCCUUCUACAUGAAAAGAACAAUUGAGGUUGACUAAACUUGAAGAGCUUGGUUUGAAUGGUAAUUUGCUCGACAACAGCAUAUUUUCAUCCCUAAGUGCACUUCCAAAUUUGAAGUUUUUGGAUUUAGGCUAUAACCGAUUGGGAGGGCCGAUAAAUAUUAAAGAAUUAGAUGGUUUGAGCAACUUGGAGGAACUGCAUAUUGGCUGCCAUUCAGGUUGCAGCCUUCCACAACAAUUACUAAGCUCAUUCUCCUCAUUGAAGGCUCUAUCCUUGAGUGGAUUAACAACAAUGGCUUUUCGUUCUCACAAUAGUAAGU